rnacentral:rRNA from 1 species
UACGGGGGGGGGCAAGCGUUGUUCGGAAUUACUGGGCGUAAAGGGUUCGUAGGUGGCCUACUAAGUCAGACGUGAAAUCCCUCAGCUUAACUGGGGAACUGCGUCUGAUACUGGGGGGCUUGAGGACAGGAGAGGAACGCGGAAUUCCAGGUGUAGCGGUGAAAUGCGUAGAUAUCUGGAGGAACACCGGUGGCGAAGGCGACGUCCUGGACCGGCAUUGACGCUGAGGCGCGAAAGCCAGGGGAGCAAAGCGGG